rnacentral:rRNA from 1 species
AGUGAACGCUGGCGGUAGGCCUAACACAUGCAAGUCGAACGGCAGCACAGUAAGAGCUUGCUCUUACGGGUGGCGAGUGGCGGACGGGUGAGGAAUACAUCGGAAUCUACUUUUGCGUGGGGGAUAACGUAGGGAAACUUACGCUAAUACCGCAUACGACCUACGGGUGAAAGCAGUGGAGCUUCGGACCUUGCGCGAUUGAAUGAGCCGAUGUCGGAUUAGCUAGUUGGCGGGGUAAAGGCCCACCAAGGCGACGAUCCGUAGCUGGUCUGAGAGGAUGAUCAGCCACACUGGAACUGAGACACGGUCCAGACUCCUACGGGAGGCAGCAGUGGGGAAUAUUGGACAAUGGGCGCAAGCCUGAUCCAGCCAUACCGCGUGGGUGAAGAAGGCCUUCGGGUUGUAAAGCCCUUUUGUUGGGAAAGAAAAGCAGCAGGUUAAUACCCCGCUGUUCUGACGGUACCCAAAGAAUAAGCACCGGCUAACUUCGUG